UACGUAGGGGGCAAGCGUUGUCCGGAAUCACUGGGCGUAAAGGGCGCGUAGGCGGCUCAUGAAGGCUGUGGUGAAAGUCCGGGGCUCAACCUCGGAUCGGCCGUGGCGACUCGUGGGCUGGAGCACUGUAGAGGCAGGUGGAAUUCCGGGUGUAGCGGUGGAAUGCGUAGAGAUCCGGAAGAACACCAGUGGCGAAGGCGGCCUGCUGGGCAGUUGCUGACGCUGAGGCGCGACAGCGUGGGGAGCAAACAGG
rnacentral:rRNA from 1 species